CUCUCGCUCAAAGAAAGGAAGAAGAAGAAGAAGAAGAAGAAGAAGGGUUUUGUGUGUUCUCGUCAUGGAAGCCUCGCCAAGCCACAUUAAUUAUGUAACGCGGCACCUGGGAUCCGAGUGCGUUGGUUCGAGUGAACGUCAUAGUUGAUUUUCGACUUUCCCAGGUCCCUCGAUUAACGAUGAGUAGGUACGAGAGCGAUAUGGAUGUGGGGACUCUUAAGAGUUGGAUUUUGAGAGCUCUGAGGCUGCGUCCUUUGAGUGGAAGGACGGCCGUGUCAUUCCCCUUUCUUGUUGGUUUUUGGGGUGUGACACAAACAUGAAAGCAAGAAGGAAAUAUGCAUGAACUAUCCACGUAGUUAUUAAAUUAACCAGAAAAGCCAGAGUUAUAAUA